UGUCUCUACUUUUUUGCAGGGUGUGCAUGGAGACAGCAUGAAUGCUAGAUCUGUAGCAGGAAGACUUGUCUUUGCCCUUUUCCAGUGGAAAAGGCUGGUGAUAUUGCUGUGCGUGGGUCUGUGCAUGAAGGAGCUGUACUAUGUGAUGAACACGCUUGAAAGUCAUGUUGGGAGGCGUGUUGGUGCUUGCCAGAGACGCUUCAUGUGGAGAAAGCCUUUUCUUGGGAGGUCUGAAUCUCACUGGAAGCCUUUCCUGACCAGCAAAUCCUUAUACUCGCUCAUGGACAGGCCUUUUAGACAGAAGGCUGAAGAAGUUCUGUGGUUCCAUGAACUUCCUUUUGGGCUGCAGAGUUCAGUUCUCUCUGCUUUUAGCACAUUGCAGCUUCUUCCAGAGCAGGAGUUGCCUGGAUCCUUUGGCCGCUUAUGGUGCCAAAGGUGCAUUGUGGUUGGCAAUGGCUACUCCAUCCAUGGACAGCGCUUUGGGAAUUUGAUUGACUCUCACCAUGUUAUCAUCAGAUUAAAUGAUGCUCCAGUAAAAGAGUACAAGAAAGAUGUGGGUGAGAGAACCAGCAUCCGUCUCUUCUUCCCUGAAUCUGCUCUGCCCAACCCUUUAGAAAACAAUGACAAUGAUACACUGAUGGUGUUUGUCCCAUUCAAGCCUCUGGAUUUCCUCUGGCUGAGGGAAGUGUUGCUGAAAACAAGGAACAAGACAAAGGUGGGAUUUUGGCGGCAGCCACCCCAGCAGUGGAAUGGGAACAUCUCUCAGCUACGUAUUCUCAACCCAUAUGUCACCUACGAAGCAACGUACAAACUGCUGCAGCUGAAUGCAUCAAGUAGGAGAUAUGCCACCACGGGAAUCAUUGCUUUGAACUUAGCCCUCCAUAUAUGCCAGGAGGUCAAUAUUGCAGGCUUUGGUUACCCCGGCAACCAUGACAAUACUACACCAAUACAUUAUUACAAUACAGGUCGCUCACGGAAAGAAGAGGUAGAAAAUGCUUCCCCUUCAAACUGAGGUGUUCUCCAUAGGGAAGCCUGCUGGCAAAAGCCGGGACUAAAGGAGCUGUGAGCUCUGCUCAUUCAGCAUAAUCUCACAGCUGAGAGGAACUGGCUGCUGAAGAUGAUUGAGUGGGGAGUGAUUGCUGACCUAGCCAACCCUGCCUUUCAGGCCCAGAACCACUGAGAGAAGGCCAUGAUGCUUGCUGUCCCCAUCCAGAAAACCCUGGUGACCCCAGCUGGACUUUACCUUUGUUCCAGGUUGUUUUGAGUAUGUGACAGCAUGUCCUGUCCCACAUGGGAUGGGAGAUGAAUCCUCCAAAUUCAGAGCACUUGCGCUUUCCUCUGUUGGCCUCUGGCUUCCACUGCUGUCUGCUCCACUGGAGAAUGAGCAGUAUUACACAACCCUUCUUCCUUGAGUAAUCUCUUCCUGGUUUGUAAACAGCUAUCCUUUGCUCACCAGGUUAUUUGUGAAAAGCACCAGACUGAGAUGCUAAGCUGGUCUGCAGCCCCUGCGAAGGGGAGUGGUGAGAGCGCAGUGCCUACCUUGAGAUUUCAAACUGCUUCCUACACAGAUUGGAGUGAGAGAGAGUCAUACCUACCCAUCGCUAUGGAAAAGGACUGAACACUCAGAAAUUUCAGUAUCUUGCUGAUUGUUGGCAAAUGUUAAUGUCUGCAGGAGUUGUUUCUUUUAUUGUUCUGUUUGAGAAUAAAUGCACUUCUGGUUUCAA